rnacentral:rRNA from 1 species
UUCCGGUUGAUCCUGCCGGACCUGACUGCUAUCGGAUUGAUACUAAGCCAUGCGAGUCAUUGUAGCAAUACAAGGCAGACGGCUCAGUAACGCGUAGUCAACCUAACCUAUGGACGGGAAUAACCUCGGGAAACUGAGAAUAAUGCCCGAUAGAACACUAUACCUGGAAUGGUUUGUGUUCCAAAUGAUUUAUCGCCGUAGGAUGGGACUGCGGCCUAUCAGUUUGUUGGUGAGGUAAUGGCCCACCAAGACUAUUACAGGUACGGGCUCUGAGAGGAGUAGCCCGGAGAUGGGUACUGAGACACGGACCCAGGCCCUAUGGGGCGCAGCAGGCGAGAAAACUUUGCAAUGUGCGAAAGCACGACAAGGUUAAUCCGAGUGAUUUGUGCUAAACGAAUCUUUUGUUAGUCCUAGAACCACUAACGAAUAAGGGGUGGGCAAGUUCUGGUGUCAGCCGCCGCGGUAAAACCAGCACCUCAAGUGGUCAGGAUGAUUAUUGGGCCUAAAGCAUCCGUAGCCGGCUCUGUAAGUUUUCGGUUAAAUCUGUACGCUUAACGUACAGGCUGCCGGGAAUACUGCAGAGCUAGGGAGUGGGAGAGGUAGACGGUACUCGGUAGGAAGGGGUAAAAUCCUUUGAUCUAUUGAUGACCACCUGUGGCGAAGGCGGUCUACCAGAACACGUCCGACGGUGAGGGAUGAAAGCUGGGGGAGCAAACCGGAUUAGAUACCCGGGUAGUCCCAGCUGUAAACUAUGCAAACUCAGUGAUGCAUUGACUUGUGGUCAAUGCAGUGCUGCAGGGAAGCCGUUAAGUUUGCCGCCUGGGAAGUACGUACGCAAGUAUGAAACUUAAAGGAAUUGGCGGGGGAGCACCACAAGGGGUGAAGCCUGCGGUUCAAUUGGAUUCAACGCCGGA